AAAAUACCCCAUUUCAAAAUUUAUACCCUUCACUAAUUUAUACAAAUUAAUUCCACUAUUACUCAUUUGUACCCAAAAUACCCCUCAAAUUUAAUUUUCCUAUUCUCUCUCUCUCUUUCCGUCUUUCCCUCUUUCACUCUCUCUUUCUCUCUCUGUCGUUUGCUAUUCCCUCUCUUUCCCUCUCUCGUUCUCUCUCUGUCGUUUACAUCUUUCGAACGUUACUCCACGACGACGACCCAACGACCCAACGACCCAACAACGCAGUCCACGACCACGACCCCAGUCCGGCCACCCACGACCCUGACCCUGACCCAACCCUCUCUCUUUCACACUAUUCUCGUUCUCUCUUUCUCUCUUUCUCUGCCUAUUGCUCUCGACAUUGGAACCCAACCCACCCACACCCACGGCCGACAUUGGAACCCAACCAAUUUUCAGAGGUCGUAGCCACGAAAACCAGAACAGAGGUCGUCCCCAAAACCACGAACAGUCAAAGAUGGCUCCCAGACUCAUUAUUCCAGCACCCGAGCAUUUCACUGGCCGCGUCACAUAUAGGGGCACUGGAAUUUUUGCAAAAAUUAAAGCUCGGUUUGAGGAGUUCAACCUUAAUAACACGGCGAAGGAAAGCCGUUUCGGGAGCUUCUGGAAUGCCGUACCACUGACAUUCUCCUCGGUGUUAU